rnacentral:rRNA from 1 species
CCUACGGGUGGCAGCAGUGGGGAAUAUUGGACAAUGGGCGAAAGCCUGAUCCAGCCAUGCCGCGUGUGUGAAGAAGGCCUUCGGGUUGUAAAGCACUUUCAGUGGGGAAGAAAGCCUUGGGGCUAAUACCCUCGAGGAAGGACAUCACCCACAGAAGAAGCACCGGCUAACUCCGUGCCAGCAGCCGCGGUAAUACGGAGGGUGCGAGCGUUAAUCGGAAUUACUGGGCGUAAAGCGCGCGUAGGCGGUCUGAUAAGCCGGUUGUGAAAGCCCCGGGCUCAACCUGGGAACGGCAUCCGGAACUGUCAGGCUAGAGUGCAGGAGAGGAAGGUAGAAUUCCCGGUGUAGCGGUGAAAUGCGUAGAGAUCGGGAGGAAUACCGGUGGCGAAGGCGGCCUUCUGGACUGACACUGACGCUGAGGUGCGAAAGCGUGGGUAGCAAACAGGAUUAGAUACCCUGGUAGUC